AUACGGAGGUUGCGAGCGUUAAUCGGAAUUACUGGGCGUAAAGCGCGUGUAGGCGGCUUGGAAAGUCGGAUGUGAAAGCCCGAGGCUCAACCUCGGAACUGCAUUUGAAACUGAGUGACUAGAGUUUAAGAGAGGGGAGUAGAAUUCCGGGUGUAGCGGUGAAAUGCGUAGAGAUCCGGAGGAAUACCAGUGGCGAAGGCGGCUCCCUGGCUUAAAACUGACGCUGAGGUACGAAAGCGUGGGUAGCAAACAGGAUUAGAUACCCUAGUAGUCC
rnacentral:rRNA from 1 species